rnacentral:rRNA from 1 species
UACAGAGGGUGCAAACGUUGCUCGGAAUGAUUGGGCGUAAAGCGCGUGCAGGCGGCCGAUUAUGCCGGUUGUGAAAGCCCGUGGCUCAACCACGGAAGUGCAGUCGGAACUGAUCGGCUAGAGUGCCGAAGAGGGUGGCGGAAUGCCCAGUGUAGAGGUGAAAUUCGUAGAUAUUGGGUAGAACACCGGUGGCGAAGGCGGCCACCUGGGAGGUAACUGACGCUGAGACGCGAAAGCGUGGGGAGCAAACAGG